CCUGCAGGUGAGCCAGUGUCCCAUAGGACUCACUCCCCUUGGCUUUUCCCCAUUCGGUAAGCAGGUAAGAAGCUCAGGCCUGCAGGUGAGCCAGUGUCCCAUAAUCCCCUUGGCUUUUCCCCAUUCGGUAAGCAGGUAAGAAGCUCAGGCCUGCAGGUGAGCCAGUGUCCCAUAAUCCCCUUGGCUUUUCCCCAUUCGGUAAGCAGGUAAGAAGCUCAGGCCUGCAGGUGAGUGAAGGAGCUGCUAGACCUCCUCCGUCCAGCUGGGGGAAACGUUUUAGCUACUUUUCAGUCUUUUUCUUGUCAUGUAAAUGUAGUUUUCUUACUGUU